rnacentral:lncRNA from 1 species
UCAACUUUUUUAGUGAGGAAUUUGUAAAUUUAGUAAAUUUUCUGUAUCAUUCGUCCCACUAAAUUUGGAUAAUCGGUCUUUAUAUAAUUAUGAGUAGAAGUUCGGAUAAUCUUGCAACUUCGGUGUCGCAACAAACAUUAACGCCUAUGGUUUUCUCGAAAUCAUGAGUUCAUGAUCUCUGGGAUCCACAAAAACAAUCAAACCCUACUUACAACUUCAUUCCCCAUUUUCUCAUUUUAAUUCCAAACUUUUUUUCUUUACUAUUAUAUUCCUAAUAUUUAUAUUUUAUUUUAGUUAGAUCUCAAAUAAAAGGUUUUUUUAGCACAAAAAAUUCAUCGGUUAUGCAUUUUGGUAAAACUAGACUUAAAAAAAAAUCGCAGAUCCAGUUCAUAUUUUUAAAAGUCUAAUCAAAAUAUCUCUAUUCCUUUCUCUCAUCUCCUUCGUCGUUACAUCAUUGUCGCCCCUUCCUCUCCUUCCUCCUCCUCUUUUUGCCCUUCCUCUCCUUUCUCUUCCUCUU